GGAGCUCUUUCCAAGGUCUGUGGUCCUCUUUAAUAUAAACAUGCACAGCAAUGUCAUACCGUGCAACUUUCAAGAAAGCUGCAUAUAUGCCUGCUCAAGGAAACUCUUGCUCAGCCCCUGUGGGAGGUGACCAUGGUUGUCAACCUUUGCCUGCCACAUUUUCAAACCACUGCUCACUGCAACAAGCUGUGCGCAGAUGGUUACGAUGUUUCCAAUCUUCUGUCUGGCGAUCCAGCAGCUCGUCGGAGAGGUUUUAAACUGGAGUACUUCCUGCGUCCUCCACUACACGUUACCUUGCACUUCCAGACGAGGGUCGAGUUGUGUCGUGUGGAUAUUGAACUUUGGCCUUGUGGUAUGGACCAAGGCAGCAUCACUAGGAGGCUUGAAAUCUUUACUUGCUCUGAUCUUGUCUCCAAGAUCUCAGAAUGUGCCCAAGAGACCGGACAGUUCAAGCUUGUGGGACGUUGUGAUUUGAGAGAGGAAGUGCUUGUGUGUUUUAAACAUUCCAAUUUCAGACAUCGAGCUCCCUUUCUUGAGCCCCCACCUGAGCCUUCAGCCCAGGUAAAGCAGCAUGAGCUCUGGAGCCGGGGCCUGCAGUCUCUUAGAUCAGUAGCCCAGCUUCGUGUCUCUUUACCUUACGGUGGGGCUGCCUCUGCACUGGGAAUUAAGUCUUUAGCAGUGUGGGGCAUCCCUGCUCAUUGUUGUCCUCCUUUAGAGCUGGAGAAGUUUCAGGAAGCCCAUUUUCAGAGCUUGAAACCAAAGCCUCCUUCUUUUUCACUGGUCUCACCUGUUACUACAUCUCCCAGCCUUCCUAGGCCAAACCCUUCAUCCUCAAAAACCCCUAUUCCAGAAGAGUUCCUGGACCCUUUAACCCAGGAGCUCAUGGUUCUGCCAAUGAUCUUGCCCAGUGGCAUGGUUGUGGACAGUAGCACCUUAGAGGAGUACCAGAAACAGGAAGCCGCUUGGGGGCGUUUGCCAAAUGACCCCUUCACUGGUGUUCCUUUUACGCAAGACUCAAAACCGCUUCCUAACCCACUUCUUAAAAGCCGCAUUGAUAGUCUAAUGCUGCAGACUGGAUGCACACGAGUCGGGAGCAGAAACGGUCUACUGAACAAACCUCAACCUUCCAAACUCACAAGCCUAUCCUGUACUAAAAGACCUUCUGGCUCAGCAGACUUGGUUAGUGUUCAGAGCUCACUAGCUGGACCUAAUGAGACGGAUAUCCAGCAGGUUCAAUCAGCCGGUUUUGACAUCACAGAAGAACUACAGAAAGACACCAUCAGUAGCAAUAAAAGCCAUAGUAAAGUAACUGAAUCUAGGGUUCAAUCUGAAAGUUGUGUAGAAAGACAAACGUUUAUAGUGAAGUCUGUUACUGAAUCCUACAGUAUUGGAACAGAGAACUUGAGGCAUUGUACUAAAAGGAAAUAUCAGUCAGACCUUUCAGCUAAUACAGACUGGACAUCUACUUAUUCAUCUCCUUUGUCCAAAUGCCCAAAACAGAUGCAAGCCUCAUCCUCCCCACAGACUCUAGCCAGUCCUCUCAUGAGCAACGCCUGUCAGACAGUUUAGACCAAGCACUGAAUUCUGCUCUGCAUGGUUUACCAAGAUAUACCUCACAAAGCAAGCCAGAGCCAGAGACCACACCAGGACAGAGCCAGUGCGGGUCAUGCUUUUGUUCUUUGACUGUUUACUCCACAAGCCAACCUGCUUACGCUUUGCCCUGCAGUCACCUGCUGUGUCGAUCAUGCCUGCAGCGUGAGCACCCUCCCAGCUCACAGAGACUGUCCAUCACAUGCCCCACAUGUAAAGCAUCUGCCUCACCCAGCACAAUCACACGAGUACAUCAUUAAACAUAUCUCAGUGCUGCCUUUGAAUGGAAAUAAAAUUGUGGUGAGGAUGAA